CUCAUCGCGCAUGCGCACUCAUGUCCGUCUGAGUGUCAAAUGCUGCCAUGUUACGGGGGUGUGGUCCUGUGGAACUGUCAGUACAUGUUAUGGUAGACUUGAUAGCACAGUUACGAGGGAUAGCAGGAGGUAAGCACACGGAGGCUUGAUUGCUGGGACUACAAGCAGAUUCAGCACACUUACUGACCUUGCUUUGUCCUUGCUGCAGUGUCUGUAAUUCCUUUGCUGCGUCGGAUAGCUGGAGCUGAGUUUCAUGGAGCCGGAGGGAGAGCUCAAAGUUUUCUUUAGUAGGCGAGUGAUGUUUUCAAGUUCGACAAGGCACCUGUGCGUUGUUUCUUGUAACGUCGUCGACAGAGCCAAGCAUGUGCGGAUGAGAUGAACCUGGACUGACGUGUCACGGGGGGGUUUGCUCAACAGAGCACAAGGGAAGUGAGUUUUGGAUGGCUGAUGAAACACAGUGUUUCACACUAGGUCUGGUGAAAGUUUGUGGUGUCAUAAGAAGUCAAUGCCUAGUAUAGGUUCCUCAGUAUUGCACAUUAAAAAAGUCGAUUCGAGUCUACAGUUUGUGGAGAGUGAGACAACGUGGGAGGUUGAAUCCGAGCAUUGUAGUUUAGUAGAGUUCACAGCUUGCAGUGAAGUAUGAUGAGGGCAGAUGUUCGAAGACACUAAGGAUGUAGGCAGCAGCGAAACAUCGAUGUCUGUGUCCACUAGGAAAAAGUAUCCCGACGAAAUGUCUUUAAUAUAAAGACGUCCAUAAUUAUAUGAUUGUUCCCGGACAGAAUGGAGCACUGGGAGUUGCCUGUCGUGUUGUGCGGAGGAAGUGGCACCGGGACCUACCUGCGAUUUGCGUUUGUAAAGCAGCAGGGUGGUCUGCAGUUCCGUGCCGCCUCACCAAGCCGUAUGUGGAAGUAACAGUAUGGGUAGUGCGGCUGCAUUUCGUGCGGAAAGUUCGUUGCCUGAGGCGGUGGCUGAGGUUCGGAGGCCGCAGCCAGUUUGGUUGCAGGAGGGGUUGUGACCGAGGGUGGAGCCGGUGACGUCCCAGCUGUUUGUAUACUGCAUCCUGGAGCGAGUGGAAUGGUCAGAACAGUGUGGCCCCGGCCGCGUCUGGCCACGGGACGAGGGGCCUGAACCUGAGACUAGCCAGGUAGGCAGUGGCAGGCGAAAUAGAGCAGUGAUGGCUCAUGUAGUUCAUCAGCAAUUGUCAUUCGUUGCUCGACAGGUUCGGGAGACCUCUGAGCCAGAGCAAAGCGGAUGUGGGGAGGUAGUUUAUCUGUCCAGAUGGCGAGGAGAUCUGUGUCAGAGAGUAGAUCAUCGCCAACAGGGGUCCGUAGCCGUCUCCGAAGUUGUGAAGAGUUGUCGUUGUCUAGUUGUUUGAUGUGGAGCACUUGCCUUAUUGCUGUCUCAGUUGAGCGUGCAAGCCAAUGUAGAACUGUCUUUUUGGCUAGAGUGUACCAGGUAGCUGAGUCUGGGGCGUCGACCAGGUCAGCAAUGAAGUCCUCCUGGUCGUGCAGGUGGGUGAUAAGGCACACAAAUCUGGUUGAUUUGUCGAGUUUGAAAUGGUCGAACACUUCGUCCACAAUUUUGAACCAGGUUGUUGCCCUGUCGGUAUUGAACGGCGGCAGUGUCAGUAAGUGUUGUAGAACAUUCAGAAGAACAGGGUGAGUUGAAUUCGUCGGGGCACUGCUUGAAACGAGCUGUUGUUGCUGCAGUAUUCCAGGAGAGUGUGUCUCCAGCGUAUGUGGCGAUGACGGCUGGUCGGGUGGCAGCGUGAAGGUGAUGCAUUGUGGAUGAGUGCGAUCGUCGCGAUGCAGAAGGCCGACGCGGGUGAGACACUGUAAUGUGUCAAUUGCAGUUGUGGAAGUUCGACUGGAGCUGGCACGGGGGUGACAGGUAAGAAAAAGUUCAAAGUUUGAAAACACGUGGCAGGCCCAGGAAAACUUGACGUGCGAUCAGAGUUGGAGCCACUUGUGUUGCAGGAAGGCUGCUGAGGUGCGGGCUGUCCAAAAGCACAGUGAGGAAAAUGAUGUCGAACAUUGGGCGAAAUGUGUGAAUGUUCACUGUUCAUAGUCACUUCAGUCAAAACGGUGUGCGGAAAAGGCCGAGAUAUUGAAACAGGAAGGCAUGUGCUGAUGCUGAACCGAGGCAGGCAAAGGUGUGGUCGGAUGCUGAGGAGGUUGACCUGUGAACAAAGCAGUUCCAGCCACGUGGCAGGAAUCCACGAGGUACUGCAUGGAUUGCGGUGUGGCAAACUGUUGUCCUGGCCAUGGUAGGUUAUCCAACGGAGCAUUUGCAGAAAUCUGCAUUGAUCCCACACUGCACAGAGAUCCAUAAGAGGCACAAAAAUGUCUGGCGAAAUCAGCGUAAUCGACGAGUGAGAGGCAUCGUGUUGCAGUCCUGUUGGGUAUACAUCGCCCGCUACACAAUGCAUGUUGAUCACAAAAUCCGGCAUUAGGCAUUGGGCCUAAGCUAUUGUUCCAAUGUUGUGUUGAUGUAAUACACACGAAAAUAUCCGACGCGGAGGCCGCGGACAUUGUAAAACGGCAAAAACAGAAGACGUUACAACUCAGGGUCACCAGUCAGGUGGAUGCUCGGAAUAUUCAACACAACAGAUUGAUGUUGAAAUACUCCUGUAAGUUCCUCGGCUGUUCAUCUGGCUUCAUCGGAGGAAAUUUGCAACAAGCAUUUCUACAGGUUUUCAAAACAACAUCAAGAGUUGCUUCUAAAGUGGAAGAGUGUUUGUAAACUGUCGCCAUAUGUGAACUGUGCUUCUUAUUUUGUUUGUGAAGAUCAUUUUUUCGAAGAAGUUUUUAUGAAUAAAAGUAGGCACAGGCUAAACAGCGGUGUGUUUCCAAAACAUGUGACAGGUGUCCCUUGUGAAAAACAGUUUAAAGCUUUAUAGCAGUUAAAAGAAUCUUUUUUUUGUGUGAUUGAGAAAUAAAUAAAAAGUAAGUUUUGUUUUCA